CACAUAUACAGACAUACUGACACACAGACACAUAUACCGACAUACUGACACACACACACAGACACAUACACUGAUCAACAUACUGACACACAUACACUGACAGAAAUACUGACACCCACACACUGACAGAUAUACUGACACCCACAUACACUGAGAAAUACUGACACACACACACACAGUCACAUACACUGACACACACAGACUGAUAUACUGACACACACACACACACAGACAUACUGGCACACAGACAGAUAUACUGACACAUGCAUACACAUGCACUAACA